rnacentral:rRNA from 1 species
AUUGAACGCUGGCGGCAGGCCUAACACAUGCAAGUCGAGCGAGCGGCGGACGGGUGAGUAAUGUCUGGGAAACUGCCUUCUGGAGGGGGAUAACUACUGGAAACUGUAGCUAAUACCGCAUACCAUCAGAUGUGCCCAGAUUGGAUUAGCUAGUAGGUGGGGUAAUGGCUCACCAAGGCGACGAUCCCUAGCUGGUCUGCGAGGAUGACCAGCCACACUGGAACUGAGACACGGUCCAGACUCCUACGGGAGGCAGCAGUGGGGAAUAUUGCACAAUGGGCGCAAGCCUGAUGCAGCCAUGCCGCGUGAGUGAAGAAGGCCUUCGGGUUGUAAAGCACUUUCAGCGAGGAGGCGUUACCCGCAGAAGAAGCACCGGCUAACUCCGUGCCAGCAGCCGCGGUAAUUC